CGAUGACCAAGUUGAAGCUGUGUUUAGCUACGCCAUGGCUUCGCACGAAUCUAAAUCGUUAGCAGCAAUGAGAAUGUUGUUGGUUGGUGGGACACUGACAACGAUGUAACCAAUCAUAGCUCUGUCCUUCAUGAGUUCUACGCUCGUGAGUGCAACAAUCCAGUCACCGUCGACACAUCCUUAACUGGCGGACGAAUAGCUUACGUCUGCAUCCAACUGGAAGUUAAAGACAGCAAGUUCGGCGAGACAGCUCAGAUGAGCUUGGUAUGAGUUAUAUUACUUACUCUAUUGUUGCAAAGAAGCUGAAUCUCGGUGAAAACAUGUGCUGGUUUGGAACCUGAUUUCAGGAGAAUAAGGUCAAUGCACUUUUAGAUGAAGAAAGCAGUGUGUCAAUGAAAAUUUUGGCAUUUUAAGCUUCAAUUUUCCAAUUAGUGUACUUUUGUUGCCGGUCACAGCAAAAAAUACUGUCCAAUGUCGCAGUAGCUUUCUAAAAACAUCGUACAAGAAAGACACUGGAAAAACUAUACGGGUCCACAAAGAGUGAUUCGCUAAUCUUUUAUUCUCUGUACGACACCCACAAUGAGUCUGGAGGUGAAAGAGGAGACGAUGAAAAAAAUGGGUCUCAUGCAUCUGGAUACAGUCGCAUACAACAAUGUGAAGCUCCGUCAGUGAGUUCUGCACCGAGUUCUAAAUCGAAGUUCCGUUGUUGAUAUCUUCAAAAAUAAUUGCAUACAAAUGUAAUCUAUCACUCGAAGACUUCCGCAUAUUGUGCAAUUUAACGCAGUUUGAUGAAUGCUACACAUACACGGCUGAGCAUAGAAAACAGCCACAACAUUUGCGACCAGGUGAUGAUACUCAUAAUGAUACAUAUGUAUAGAUUAGAUACUUAAAAUUUUGUAUACUGUAAUCAAUUAUAAAUAUUUCAGAACAACAUGGGUUGCAAUUCAAAUGAUCCUUCUUAAACAGAAUACCAGUGGAGUUGGUUAUUUUAUGAAUGUACCACAUACUGUCAAUAAAGGUUACAAGAAAUCCCUUACUGUAGAUGAUAGUAUUGAAUUUCCAUUCAAUAAUGAUGGAUUUCAUAAUAAUCCAGUUCUAACAGAAGAAUACUUACAAGUUCACAAUGCAGUAAUAAUUAGUUGGAACAGUUGAAUUGUCAUCUUGCAUGAAUUUAUGCGACCAAGGAGGAAAUGUCACUCUAACUAGCCUGAAGCUAAUCAAAACCAAAGCACGUACAUUUUUCUUGCAUUUCGAUUAUGGGCGACCCAGCCAAAGAAGUACAAUAAACAAGAAUUGAGUUCAUUUUUCAGAGUAGAAAUGUCCUAUAUGAUCACCAAGUGAGAGCGAUAUGUAUAUUUAUAAAAACUUUUUAUGUAAGCUGCUUAAGAAUAUAUUUAAUGUUAACCGCGAUUAUUUCUUGGCAAUAUUAAUUCUUUGGCGCCGGGUACAAAGGUGUUAAGUCAGAAAAGGUACUUUUGAGGAAAAUGGAAUUGAAGUUUCAAUUUUUGUUUGUAAAUCUGAAAAUUAUUAUUUUGAAAAAGUAAUGAUGCAGAAACAUCAUCUAUAAGAUCUUUUUUAAUAUCCAUAUGCUGUUGACCAGAAAAUGACCGUUCCAUUUAGUCUUCAAAAAUAAACUUGGUCCAAAGGUGUUAAGUCAAGAAAAAUCUUUGUUUACAUUGAUAACAAAGUUUAAUUUAUAAAAGAAAGUUGGAAAUAUCAAAGUGAUUAAUUACCAAAUGUGAGAAUUCUUUUUGAAAUAAUAUAAUGCUGUGGAAAAAUGGCUUUUUGUUUUCUAUCUUCCUCUUGACUUAACGCCUUAGGAUCAAUUUUUGUAUUUAAAAAAUAAAAAUUAAUGCAAAAUCAAAGGAGUUAAGUCAACAUAAGGCCUUAGUACCACACAAUUUUAAAUUUUUUUGACUUAAACCCUUUGUACCGAAUCAUUUCUUACGGAAGGAGAUACGCUAGAGCUAUGGCGAUAGGACCAAACGAAAGAGAGAAAAAAACUGACCGAAGUCCAACAAAAGUCUGAAAAUCGAUUUUUUUUUUACUUAACCCCUUUGUACCCGGCAGCAAAGAAUUUAUAAUGUUAAUAAUUAUCGAUUUUUAUCUUAUAACAAUUGUAUUUGAUUUUAAUCCUCUAUUAAAUGAAUAAAUAACAGUUUUGUCUAAACAGUAUUUUCUGGAUUUUUGUUGUUUUGUUUUUGAUGUUUCAAUUAUAACCUGCAGCGAUUGUCAUAAAAAAACCCAUCAGAUAAAAUUGUAAAACAUGAUAAGUCCAUUUUGAAUCAUUUUUGUCUCACACAA